GCUUUGUUGCUGAAACAGAAACUGGCAGUUAUCACCCAAAAUUUCGUUAUAGUGGAAGCGAGAAAUUUCUUCAGAGAUGUGCAAAGUAAACGUAACUAAACUGAUGCUUCUUACAGUGGACUGCAUAAACGUAACUAAACUGAUGCUUCUUAUUAUGGUGGAAAAUGAUCAAAGGCUAUGCAGCGUCAGAAAGAAGAAACGUUUAAAAGAAACAUAAAACUUAAAAGCAAUAUCCGCUCUAGCUCGUUAUCAGUUAACACUUAAUUGAAAGAUCCAACAAACAAAGGCAAAUAUAUUUGAUACUCACGUAAUAUUCUCCCCUCCAAAUUUGUAUCUCGUCUUCACCAAAAAAGCCACCACCGCAGCACCACACAAAACAAGAGACGAAAUCCCCAAGGUGAUAAUGGACGUCAGUCCAACUUCUACAGUGAGGAGAAGGAAGAGCUCUUUUUGACAUUCGUUUAUGGCAUCUGUAAGUGAUUCACCCGUUUUAGCACCCGAGCAACAGCACUUGGACAGUGGAUUGCUGAUAAAAAAAUACGUGUUGGUAACUGCAAAUGUUAACUGUUAAGUCAAUCGCAAAAGGUGAAGAUGAAAAAGACCUUUCCACACUAUCCUGUCUCACAACAGCUGCAUGUUUGCCAACUUUGGUGAUAGACAAUAAUAAUGAGAAGUUUGAAACCUUUUCUGAGAACUUAAGUAACAGAAAGGCAUGUCAACAAUUCAAAAUAUUCCAUGUUGACACACUUCGUGCCUGAAGACAUUUGUAUUACUUUCAUAAAACAUUAUCUUAAAACACUUCAAAAGUAAUUGGUAUCAGAAAAUAUCUUUUAAGAAUCUGGAAAUGUUCUGCUAUUUCAUAGAAUUAGUUCCUUCUAUAAAAAAAAAAAGAACUUGUGAUAAAAAAAUCUUUUUCCUCUUUUACGAUUGUACGUCUCUUUGAAAUAAAACUGUUCAUAAAAAUAAAAUGGGGUUUUAAAACUAAUGACUUGUCGUCAACAAGAAAUAAGGGGAAAACUUUUGUUAAAAACAUUAAGAUAGCCGUUAUCGCUAUGGUCCUAGCGAUC